ACUCCUGUGACGCAGUGGCUAGCGUGUCGUUCUUAUAUUCUUUCUUCGGAAACAAUAUGGCCAUUGAGGUUAUGCGAAAGUCGAGGGUUCGACCCCCUCCAGGAGUA